rnacentral:rRNA from 1 species
AUUGAACGCUGGCGGCAGGCCUAACACAUGCAAGUCGAGCGGAUGAAGGGAGCUUGCUCCUGGAUUCAGCGGCGGACGGGUGAGUAAUGCCUAGGAAUCUGCCUGGCAGUGGGGGAUAACGUCCGGAAACGGGCGCUAAUACCGUAUACGUCCUGAGGGAGAAAGUGGGGGAUCUUCGGACCUCACGCUAUCAGAUGAGCCUAGGUCGGAUUAGCUAGUUGGUGGGGUAAACGCCUACCAAGGCGACGAUCCGUAACUGGUCUGAGAGGAUGAGCAGUCACACGAGAACUGAGACGCGAUCCAGACGCCUACGAGAGGGCGCAGUGUGGAAUAGUCGGCAAUGGGCGAAAACCUGAUCCAGCCAUGCCGCGUGUGUGAAGGAGGUCUUCGGAUUGUAAAGCACUUUAAGUUGGGAGGAAAGGCAGUAAGUUAAUACCUUGCUGUUUUGACGUUACCAACAGAGUAAGCACCGGCUAACUUCGUG